UGGAGAUGGCGACCGGCGCACGGGUGAGUAACACGUAUCCAACCUGCCGAUAACUCGGGGAUAGCCUUUCGAAAGAAAGAUUAAUACCCGAUGGCACAAUAGAACCGCAUGGUUUGAUUAUUAAAGAAUUUCGGUUAUCGAUGGGGAUGCGUUCCAUUAGGCAGUUGGUGGGGUAAUGGCCCACCAAACCUUCGAUGGAUAGGGGUUCUGAGAGGAAGGUCCCCCACAUUGGAACUGAGACACGGUCCAAACUCCUACGGGAGGCAGCAUG
rnacentral:rRNA from 1 species